rnacentral:rRNA from 1 species
UACGUAGGGUGCGAGCGUUAAUCGGAAUUACUGGGCGUAAAGCGUGCGCAGGCGGUUUGCUAAGACAGGGGUGAAAUCCCCGGGCUCAACCUGGGAACUGCAUUUGUGACUGUAGAGCUGGAGUACGGUAGAGGGGGAUGGAAUUCCGCGUGUAGCAGUGAAAUGCGUAGAUAUGCGGAGGAACACCGAUGGCGAAGGCGGCUCACUGGGCCGGACCUGACGCUGAGGCGCGAAAGCGUGGGGAGCGAGCCGG